AAACAUCCGUAGCUUGUUUUGUAAGUCUCUUGUGAAAUUCUAACUCUUAAGGUUAGAGCUGCAAGAGAAACUGCAAAACUUGAGACUGGGGGGUGUGGAGAGUACAGUCAAGGUAGUGGUAAAAUACGUUGAUCUUGGCUGGACUAACAACAGCGAAGGCACUCCACAAUAACAGUCUGACAGUGAGGGAUGAAGGCUAUGGGCGCAAAAUGGAUUAGAUACCCAUGUAGUCCUAGCUGUAAACACUGCACACUAAACAUCGGGAUCUCUCGAAGAUUUCGGUGCUGAGGGGAAGCUGAAAAGUGUGCUACCUGGGAAGUAUAGCCGCAAGGCCGAAACUUAAAGGAAUUGGCGGGGGAGUACACAACGGGUGACGCGUACGGUUCAAUCAGAUUCUACACCGUGAACCUCACCAGGACCGAAGCAGUGAAGGUAGUUGAAGGGCUACCUGACACGCCUAGAGGAGUUACAUAGCCGACUUCAGCCUGUGUCGUGAGAUGACCUGUUAAAUCAGGUAACAGGCGAGACCCGUGUGCAUAGUUGCUUUCUGGGAAGCACUCUAUGCAGACUGCUUGCGUAAGCAAGAGGAAGGUGCGGGCUACGUUAGGUGGCAUGACCCGGAUGCCCUGGGCUACACGCGCGCGGCAAUGCUAAAUUCAGUGAGAUGCGACUCUGAAAAGAGAAGCAAUCCCAUAAUAUUUAGCUUAGUUCAGAUUGAAGCUUGAAACUCAGCUUCAUGACGCUGGAAUCCGUAGUA
rnacentral:rRNA from 1 species